rnacentral:rRNA from 1 species
AACGCUAGCUACAGGCUUAACACAUGCAAGUCCACUUUCAGCAGGAAGAAAGCUUGCUUUCUUUGCUGGCGACCGGCGCACGGGUGAGUAACACGUAUCCAACCUGCCCUUUACUCGGGGAUAGCCUUUCGAAAGAAAGAUUAAUACCCGAUGGCAUAAUGAUUCCGCAUGGUUUCAUUAUUAAAGGAUUCCGGUAAAGGAUGGGGAUGCGUUCCAUUAGGUUGUUGGUGAGGUAACGGCUCACCAAGCCUUCGAUGGAUAGGGGUUCUGAGAGGAAGGUCCCCCACAUUGGAACUGAGACACGGUCCAAACUCCUACGGGAGGCAGCAGUGAGGAAUAUUGGUCAAUGGGCGCUAGCCUGAACCAGCCAAGUAGCGUGAAGGAUGAAGGCUCUAUGGGUCGUAAACUUCUUUUAUAUAAGAAUAAAGUGCAGUAUGUAUACUGUUUUGUAUGUAUUAUAUGAAUAAGGAUCGGCUAACUCCGUGCCAGCAGCCGCGGUAAUACGGAGGAUCCGAGCGUUAUCCGGAUUUAUUGGGUUUAAAGGGAGCGUAGGUGGACUGGUAAGUCAGUUGUGAAAGUUUGCGGCUCAACCGUAAAAUUGCAGUUGAUACUGUCAGUCUUGAGUACAGUAGAGGUGGGCGGAAUUCGUGGUGUAGCGGUGAAAUGCUUAGAUAUCACGAAGAACUCCGAUUGCGAAGGCAGCUCACUGGACUGCAACUGACACUGAUGCUCGAAAGUGUGGGUAUCAAACAGGAUUAGAUACCCUGGUAGUCCACACAGUAAACGAUGAAUACUCGCUGUUUGCGAUAUACAGUAAGCGGCCAAGCGAAAGCAUUAAGUAUUCCACCUGGGGAGUACGCCGGCAACGGUGAAACUCAAAGGAAUUGACGGGGGCCCGCACAAGCGGAGGAACAUGUGGUUUAAUUCGAUGAUACGCGAGGAACCUUACCCGGGCUUAAAUUGCAGUGGAAUGAUGUGGAAACAUGUCAGUGAGCAAUCACCGCUGUGAAGGUGCUGCAUGGUUGUCGUCAGCUCGUGCCGUGAGGUGUCGGCUUAAGUGCCAUAACGAGCGCAACCCUUAUCUUCAGUUACUAACAGGUCAUGCUGAGGACUCUGGAGAGACUGCCGUCGUAAGAUGUGAGGAAGGUGGGGAUGACGUCAAAUCAGCACGGCCCUUACGUCCGGGGCUACACACGUGUUACAAUGGGGGGUACAGAAGGCAGCUAGCGGGUGACCGUAUGCUAAUCCCAAAAGCCUCUCUCAGUUCGGAUCGAAGUCUGCAACCCGACUUCGUGAAGCUGGAUUCGCUAGUAAUCGCGCAUCAGCCACGGCGCGGUGAAUACGUUCCCGGGCCUUGUACACACCGCCCGUCAAGCCAUGGGAGCCGGGGGUACAAGAGGUACGUAACCGCAAGGAUCGUCCUAGG